rnacentral:rRNA from 1 species
CUCUCAAAGAACUUAUUUUGAGUAAAAUCUGCUCACUGUUUAUAUAAAUAGCCGCAGAAUUUACUGUGCUAAGGUAGCAUAAUCACUUGUUUCCUAAUUAGAGACUAGAAUGAAAGAUUUAACAUUUUAAUUACUUUCUUAUUUUAACAAAUAAAAGCUAUAUUAAAUAUAAAAAUAUAUUUAUAAAAAAAAUAGACGACAAGACCCUUUCGAACUUAACUUAUGUUUAGCUGGGGCAGCUACUUAAACAAAAUUUUAAUUUCUAUAAAAUUUAAAAUGACCUAAUUUCAUUAAAUAAAUGAUCAAGUUACCGAAGGGAUAACAGCAUAAUAAAAUUUUAAACUCUUAUUUAAAAUUUAGUUUAUGACCUCGAUGUUGAAUUAUUUUUCUUAAAAACGCAAUAGUUUUAAAAGAAAGUCUGUUCGACUUUUAAAUUUUUACA